AGCGAACGCUGGCGGCAGGCCUAACACAUGCCAGUCGAACGAACUCUUCGGAGUUAGUGGCGGACGGGUGAGUAACACGUGGGAACGUGCCUUUAGGUUCGGAAUAACUCAGGGAAACUUGUGCUAAUACCGAAUGUGCCCUUCGGGGGAAAGAUUUAUCGCCUUUAGAGCGGCCCGCGUCUGAUUAGCUAGUUGGUGAGGUAAAGGCUCACCAAGGCGACGAUCAGUAGCUGGUCUGAGAGGAUGAUCAGCCACAUUGGGACUGAGACACGGCCCAAACUCCUACGGGAGGCAGCAGUGGGGAAUCUUGCGCAAUGGGCGAAAGCCUGACGCAGCCAUGCCGCGUGAAUGAUGAAGGUCUUAGGAUUGUAAAAUUCUUUCACCGGGGACGAUAAUGACGGUACCCGGAGAAGAAGCCCCGGCUAACUUCGU
rnacentral:rRNA from 1 species